rnacentral:lncRNA from 1 species
AUUCAUCUUUAUCUGUUGUGCUACGAAACUAAAUAGUAAUAAAGCUUAAGAUGCCCAAUGGAAAUUGACAAAUUGUUGAGUCAUUCUACUUCAAUUUAUUUCAUUGCUCUGGACAUCCAUUGAGCACUCUGCCAAACGUUAAUGUUUUUUUAUACUGAAACCUAAUCUUGGUUUAGAUUCGCCUAAGAUCCCAUCAAUAUGAGUUGCAAAAUAUUUGUCGUUUUGGCAGUGCUGUUGACUAUCUCAAAAAUAGGUGAGGAGUUGUUUUAGUUAUAUCUCAUUUUAAUGAUCUAUAUCUAAUUUUUCUAGCUCACGUUUGCAUUAGGUUUCGCAUAUGAAAAAAUUGAGAUUUGAAGUAGGCCUAGCUAACUGUAUUCUUUAUCGUCGUAGGGAGUGCCCUGAAAUGCAACCGUUGUCAUUACCAAUCGACUCAACCGAAGGAUGAACAAAAAUGUGGC